rnacentral:lncRNA from 1 species
AUAUAAAAAUUCAAAUUCUAAUCUAAAGAAAAGAAUAAUAUUAUUAUUUUUUAUUUAUAACUAUUCACUUUAAUUCUUAUUCUAUUUUACCUAACCAAACGUUAUUUUUCUUAUUUAUAGAAAUAACCCAAUUUUCAUCCAAACGCAAAAUUGAUCUAAUUCUCGCUUAUAUCUCAAUUUAUACCUAUCCCCGAAAUACCCACUUUUUGCUUAUCCUCGAACCAAACGAUACCUAAGUGUUUUUUUCUUGUAUAAAACUUUAAAGACUUUUUAUUUGAAUAAGAACACAUUUUGGUUUUUACACAUAUGCGCAUAAAAUUAUCUUUUGUACAUUAAAGCAUUAUUGUGCACUAAAGUGGGACUCUGAGUUGAACUUAUAAUACGUUCAUACGGUUGUAACUCAUAAAGUUAUUUAAUUAAAGAAUACGUGCUUUUGAUACAUGGAAGGGAGUGUUCAUCAUUUGGGACAUAACCGCUAUGAUCAAAGUAUUAUGAUUGCUUGGUCAAGUGGGCCGGAGAUUUCGACUGUAUAAUUUAGUUGGUAUCUAAUAAAGUUUUGUAUCGUCUAUACGGUAUGAAUAUUAUAUUAUUAGACCAAGUAGAAGAAUGUUGGAUGUGACCCAUGUGAUUUAUUCAAUACGAUCUAUAAAGAUACAGUCGGUUUAUUUAAGUUGAUCUAUAGAUAUGGUAGAUCUAACGGUUAGGAUGUAUCUGGACACAUUCUUGAUGGACAGACGUGAUUUAAUAUCCUUACAUUAAGUUGUAUAUAAAUAUAACAUAUGGAAGUCCCGAUCUAAUCCUAAUCCUAAUUCUUGUGACGGCUCCAUCUCCGGAGAUAAGGGAAUUAGACUCGAAACGUCCGUCUUUUUGCAGAUCACGAACGAGAACGAACCACGAGUAAGGAUUGCCAUCUGCAAUCCGGGUAUUGAAAUCGAAAUCAUGAUAGAAGGUACGAUUUUAGUUUCUUAUAAAGUUCUAACAUUUUCAACUACAGAAGUUAAAUAUAAAUACAUUAGAUUAAACAUCAAAUUUAAAUUUAAAAUAUAUAACUUAGUCUCAAAUAAUUUUAAAUAGUAUAAUUUAAUCUCAAACAAUAUAAUUUCUUUAAUUUUCAUUUUUUCCUCUAUUUUUCGGCCUUUUUUGCAGCGGCCAUAGUAUAUUAUGGCAUUACUAGGAGAAGAAAAAUAUGUGUUUCUUAUUUUUCUUAUGUUUUCUUUUUUCUACUUUUUUUAGCUACCCAUUGCAUUCCUUUUUUGCGACAUGCCUCCUUUCUCGCCUUCUGUUGCUGCAUUUGCCCCCACCUUGACGCGCUCCCAUUUCAUGUCAUCCUCAAAUUCUGUAGCAUUCUCAUUGUCGUCGCUGUUCAUGGCCACAUCGUCUGCCGCAAACUUAUUUCCGCGAUUUGUAUUAUAUUCGAGAUCGCGUCACUAUUGCCGGCAUCGGUGAAGAUGUGAACGAGGUAGGAAAAAGGAGCACGGCAUUGUCACGUAGGUGGUGGAGGAGGAGGAGGAGGAGAAGAAAAACAAAGCGGAGGGAGAAAAAGAGAAAAGAAUAGCGAAGAGGAGGAAGAGGAAGAGAGUGGAGACAUGCAAACGAGUGAGAAAAAAGAGAAAAAGAAAAAUAACAAUAUUUUAACCAAUUUACUAAAUAUUAAA